rnacentral:rRNA from 1 species
UACGUAGGGGGCGAGCGUUGUCCGGAUUUAUUGGGCGUAAAGAGCUCGUAGGCGGUUUGGUAAGUCGGGGGUGAAAUCUCCACGCUCAACGUGGAGGGGUCCGUCGGUACAGCCGUGACUCGAGUCCGGUAGGGGAGAAUGGAAUUCCCGGUGUAGCGGUGAAAUGCGCAGAGAUCGGGAGGAACACCCGUAGCGAAGGCGGUUCUCUGGGCCGGUACUGACGCUGAGGAGCGAAAGCGUGGGGAGCAAACAGG